rnacentral:tRNA from 4 species
GUGGGCGUAGCUCAAUUGGUUAGAGCAUCAGACUGUGGCUCUGAGGGUCGGGGGUUCAAGUCCCCUCGCCCACCCCA